rnacentral:rRNA from 1 species
AGCAGUAGCCGCGGGAAUACGGAGGGAGCUAGCGUUGUUCGGAAUUACUGGGCGUAAAGCGCGCGUAGGCGGUUACUCAAGUCAGAGGUGAAAGCCCGGGGCUCAACCCCGGAACUGCCUUUGAAACUAGGUGACUAGAAUCUUGGAGAGGUCAGUGGAAUUCCGAGUGUAGAGGUGAAAUUCGUAGAUAUUCGGAAGAACACCAGUGGCGAAGGCGACUGACUGGACAAGUAUUGACGCUGAGGUGCGAAAGCGUGGGGAGCAAACAGGAUUAGAUACCCCUGUAGUCCCUGUCUCUUAUAC